rnacentral:rRNA from 1 species
GACGAACGCUGGCGGCAUGCCUAAUACAUGCAAGUCGAGCGAACAGAUGAAGUGCUUGCACUUCUGACGUUAGCGGCGAACGGGUGAGUAACACGUAAGGAAUCUACCUAUAAGCGGGGGAUAACAUUCGGAAACGGGUGCUAAUACCGCAUAAUAUCUUCUUCCGCAUGGAAGAAGAUUGAAAGACGGCUCUGCUGUCACUUAUAGAUGACCUUGCGGUGCAUUAGUUAGUUGGUGGGGUAACGGCCUACCAAGGCGAUGAUGCAUAGCCGACCUGAGAGGGUGAUCGGCCACAUUGGGAGUGGGACACGGCCCAAACUCCUACGGGAGGCAGCAGUAGGGAAUCUUCCGCAAUGGGCGAAAGCCUGACGGAGCAAUGCCGCGUGAGUGAAGAAGGCCUUCGGGUCGUAAAACUCUGUUAUAAGAGAAGAACAAAUUGUAGAGUAACUGCUACAGUCUUGACGGUAUCUUAUCAGAAAGCCACGGCUAACUACGUGCCAGCAGCCGCGGUAA